ACCUCUGUGGCUGAGUGGUCAAAAGCACUGACUCUCAACUCGGAGGUUCUGGGUUCAAAUCCCGGCCAGGGCG
rfam:Asian citrus Psyllid, Diaphorina citri - Florida Strain, whole genome shotgun sequence.